CACGUAGGGGGCAAGCGUUGUCCGGAUUCAUUGGGCGUAAAGAGCCCGUAGGCGGUUCGAUAAGUCGGGUGUGAAACCUCCAGGCUCAACCUGGAGACGCCACCCGAUACUGUCGUGACUAGAGUCCAGUAGGGGAGCGUGGAAUUCCUGGUGUAGCGGUGAAAUGCGCAGAUAUCAGGAGGAACACCGAUGGCGAAGGCAGCACUCUGGGACGGUACUGACGCUGAGACGCGAAAGCGUGGGGAGCAAACAGG
rnacentral:rRNA from 1 species